rnacentral:tRNA from 1 species
GGCCAGAUGAAAGCGGCCAGUUUCUCCGCCUACCGAGACUGGGGGGCUUCGAUUUCCUCAAAGCAGCGUCGAUGCGGCCUUGAUCCGCGACUAAAAAUCCCCGCGUCGGCAGUUCGAUUCUGUCCCUGGUCACCA